UAAGGCAGGAUAAUUCGUUGAGAUAUUAAUUUGUGGUUUUAUUCCUACAAGAGAUGAAUCAGAAUGUGAGGCGUUAUCUGCAAAUUCUCCUCUCUGCUGGAUACUGCUAAGAAAGGAGAAAAGAGGAUGGACAUGAGGGGAAGCCAACUGCUAUGCUUGAUUGACGACACUCAAGCAGCCUAUAGACAGGCCCAUGUGGUGAAGAACUAUGACAACCAGAACUACCCCUGGAUUCCUGACCCACAGAAACUAUGUUAACACUUGACCAGCCCGAUGUCGCCUAACGACGACGCACUGGGACCUGUGUAUUCCUUCAGUUCACACAUGCCGUCUGGGAGGGAAGUUCACUUGUCCUCACCUUACGCCAGAGGAAACUGAGGCUUGGGAAAGGUAAGUGGAGACAUUGGGGUUUGAAUCCAGGCUCUUCAUUCCCAGCUCAGUGAUUUUGACCCCCUCACAUCUGAAUAAACCAAAGCCCCUAAAGUUGACUAUUUUUCUU
rnacentral:lncRNA from 1 species